UACAGAGGUCUCAAGCGUUGUUCGGAUUCAUUGGGCGUAAAGGGUGCGUAGGCGGCGCGGUAAGUCGGGUGUGAAAUCUCGGAGCUUAACUCCGAAACUGCAUUCGAUACUGCUGUGCUUGAGGACUGGAGAGGAGACUGGAAUUCAUGGUGUAGCAGUGAAAUGCGUAGAGAUCAUGAGGAAGACCAGUGGCGAAGGCGGGUCUCUGGACAGUUCCUGACACUGAGACACGAAGGCCAGGGGAGCAAACAGG
rnacentral:rRNA from 1 species